rnacentral:rRNA from 1 species
UACGUAGGGGGCAAGCGUUGUCCGGAUUUAUUGGGCGUAAAGAGCGUGUAGGCGGCCAGAUAGGUCCGUUGUGAAAACUGGAGGCUUAACCUCCAGCGGUCGAUGGAAACCAUUUGGCUAGAGUCCGGAAGAGGAGAGUGGAAUUUACGGUGUAGCAGUGAAAUGCGUAGAUAUCGUAAGGAAGACCAGUGGCGAAGGCGAGUCUCUGGACAGUUACUGACGCUGAGGCACGAAGGCCAGGGGAGCAAACGGG